rnacentral:rRNA from 1 species
UACGUAGGCAGCAAGCGUUGUUCGGAAUUACUGGGCGUAAAGAGUGUGUAGGCUGUGCUCUAAGUCUGGUGUGAAAUCUCCCGGCUUAACUGGGAGGGUGCGCCGGAAACUGGGGUGCUGGAGUAUGGGAGAGGCAAGCGGAAUUCCUGGUGUAGCGGUGAAAUGCGUAGAUAUCAGGAGGAACACCUGUGGUGUAGACAGCUUGCUGGACCAUUACUGACGCUGAGACACGAAAGCGUGGGUAGCAAACAGG